UGUUGGGAUUACAGGCAUGAGCCACUGUACCCAGCCAAUCAUGUGCAAUGCACUCUGACAUAUUCUGUUCAACUGUGUUUUUUCUUUCUUUCUUUCUUUCUUUUUUUUUUUUUUUUUUCAAAAUACUGGCUGGAAUCCACUGUGGGCCAGAAUUAAUUUCAGGGCCCACAAAUGGGUCAGACCUCUUGGUCUGAGACACUGUGCCCUAGGGUUAGCUCCUGGGGACUGGCUACCUAUCCUGUACAUCAUCCAUUGGCCUAGGGUGGGAACAACUACCCCCAGCAGAUCCUGGUCACCUUCUAUCACAAAAUCUUUUCAUUUGUAUUCUCAGCCCGGCCUCUUUUGUUAACUUUUUUCCUUAAUUUCUCCCCAUUCUUUUUCCAACUUAUCAGUAACUCUAGCAGAGUUACAUAGAGGCCUCAGACACUGUGGUCUCCUCAGCUGGUCCUCCCGAUCCCUCUUGCAGCCCUGUAGUUGCAGGCUGCAGACAGACGGGGCAGGAGUGAGCACAUGUCUGGUCCAUCUCACAGAUGCAGCCUUGCUGGAAUCAGCAAGAACAACCACCCCCAGGACUUCAGCCUCAACAUGAGCUAACAGGCAUUAAAAGCCCUCAGGUUUGAUUGUCUUCACUUAACUGGCAUUAUUAUGGAGUUGUAGACCUGGUGUGGGGAGUAUGGGGAUCAACCUCAGAAGCCUCCAGAGAGAGAUUGGUGGACUCUAGGAGUGUCGAUCUCAGACUGACCAUCGCUGGGGCCACAUCCAAGCAGCAGCCCUUUGUCCAGAGCCAUUUCCUCCACUGGCCUCAGUUUCUGUAGGGCCCAGAUGGUGCUGAAGUCAGAUGCCAAGGGGAAAGUGACUUUACCCACGAGAGAGAUUUUUAAAUAUUCCCCCAACUGCUCCGAUGGGACCGUCUAGUUACAGGAAAACAAGCUCAAGGCUCC
rnacentral:lncRNA from 1 species